rnacentral:rRNA from 1 species
AACGGCCGUACCAUGCUGAAUAUACCGGUUCUCGUUUGAUCACCGAAGUUAAGCAUCAUUGGGCGCGGUCAGUACUUGGGUGGGUGACCACCUGGGAACACUGCGUGCCGUU